GAACAGCUCUGCAAGGACCGCCGCAGGCCACAAGUGCACGGGGUGCCAGGAGCUCCCCGUCCCCGGCCCCCGGCCCGGGCUGAAACAGCAACGGUUUGCCCGGGCCCUCCCCCUUCCCUCUUCCCCAGCAAAUCUACCCAGACCGGAAGCGCGACACGCGCUUAGACCCGAGCCUUCUCUCAGCCUCGGGACCAGGUGCUUGUUGGCUGCGUCGAAAAGGCAAAAGUAAAAAAAGCGAAGGCGAAGGGCAGCUCAAUGGGAACGAUUCAGGGGGUCUUCCCGGCUCCCAGCACCCCCAAGAAGAUGGCUGCCGAUAAAUCUCGCGAGAAAUGAUGAAGUCUCGCGGUGGCUCCCGGAGCCUGCUGGGAGAGACGUAAGGUCGGCGGAGAAUGCGCGGGUCGAGUGCUGUAGUUCGAUAUUUGCGUGUGUAAUUCAAGAGGAAACGCUUGAGCAAUUACUGAUGUUGUA
rnacentral:lncRNA from 1 species